CUGCAAGGCCAUGAUAAGAAGGGACUAAACUACAAAUGCUGAUUGCAUGGGAGGAAUAAAGAGAGGAAGGGAGCCCUGCGCUCCAGCAGCAGUGAUGCCCCGUCUGUACCUUUUAUCCAGCAAUCCUCCCAGCUCAGGUGGGAACAGCAGCUUUUUUGCAUCCCGGCGUGAGCGCUGCUUCCCCUCCAAUAUCUGCCAGAAUAGCAGGGAAGCGGGAGCCAGCGGGGGAAUUGCCAGGGAAAGAUACACUCAUUAAAAACAGAAAAUCCCCAAAGCUCUGACAUGGUUUUGUCAGACAGGACUUACAACAGAUGAUUCUUGUGAGGAUUUCUCACUCUUGGGAAAUGCUUCGUGGUUUGUCAUCACCCGGGAACGGGCAGCAGGAACGGCGUAGGGAGCAGAACACAGGCCCAGGAGGGGCGGGUGUUAAGAGAGCCACAGCUGAAAAAUCAACAGGGAAAUGGUGUUAAAAAUGUUUGCUUUCGCUAUUUGCAACCCAGACAUUGCGACAGCUGGAGGCAAGAAGUGAAACCAUCUCACUACAGCCAAUUCCAGGAGCACAUAUCUUGUGACUCAGCCCUUUUCCUUCCCAAAAUCAGGGGGACAGUGUGAGAACCUCCUGCCUCCCCUCAGAUGAGGAUGUUCUGGGUUCCCUGAGCUUUCGAGCUUUGCUCUGCAACAAGGAGUGCUAUAUGCUUCUUGUAUGGAAAAAGGUGAAGUGCUGCAUUUGCCCUCCCUUGAUUCUGGGAGCUGGUGCUUUAAGAGGCAUCUCUCCCACCCACCUGCCCCUUCACUGCACCUAAAAUGUCACCGGUGUUUCAGUAAACCCACGGGGAUUGGCAAAAUCGCUGAACAGAAGCAGCACUGUGAUACCAUGGUGAUGGUUGCUACCGAAAAUCCUUCACUAGGUAGGAGCGAUCGCAGAAGGAGCCUGUUCCACCAACGGGCUGGGGAGCCGUGCCCGAAGCCAACAGCCAAGGUGCUGGCUGCUAAAGUUAGAGUUAUCCAGCUCUUGUUCUCCCCCCCCAGCCCUGGUUUAGGAGAGCAUGCUGCUUUUUUAAUAUAUACUUGCUAACGGCUUUUGUUUUCUUUCGAACGCCUCUGUCAAAGCGGCCAAAUGUAUUGUCAAAAAGGCCAAGGAGCCAUAAUUGACAUUUAAGUGCCUCUGCUCUCGUGGGGUUUGAUGAAGCACUUUGAGGAGAAGCUGUGAGGUUUGUGUACUCCAGUGUCCCUCCUGCCCCAGCCCUUGCCUCCUGAUUUCCAUGGGGUGAGCCCAGCAUUUCCAUUUAAAAACCACGUGGCCUGGCAUGAGGAGCUGAUAAUACACAUGUUAAUAUGAGCCUUCUCUCCCCACCACCCAAUUACACCGCAGGGCCAUAUUUCAAUCCAGUAGCAGAGUACAAGCUGGCUUUCCUCCAACCAAUCACUCCCUCUAGGUGUAGUAUUUUUACUUUGCCUAUUGUGCUGCUAAGAAAAUGCUGAACUUAACCAAAAUAUACUUCUGUGUUAUUUUAUACAACAAUUCAGUGACUUGAUGACUCCAGGUUUGGAUCACCUCAUUCAAGCUGCUUUUCCUCUGCUUCUCUAUGCAAAUUUUGUCGCUUCUGUCUGGGUAAUGACAAGCUCUUAGUGAAAGGUUUAUAUGAAAGAUGCUAUUAUGCUACGUAUUCUUCGCAGUGCAUCAGGACAUCUUGUUACAGCAGCCUUAUUUCUUAUUAACACUUGACUUAAGCCACCCAGACUCGCAUGCUGGGGGAAAUGAGGGGGCUGUUAUUUAUGCUGACCCAUUUGUCUAUUAGUUGCAAUGACUAUCUGGGAAUGCAUGGGAAAAAGAAAGCCUCAGAUCUUCCUCUGCAGACAUGUUGGAGCAACCCGCUCUUAUCAGAUCAGCAGAGCUCAGAUGCUCAGACAGAAAGAUAGGCUUGCUUUGCCCUCAGCUUUUUGCAUAUCCUAAUGAAUCUCAUUUGCUCAGCCCUGGAGGCAGGUCAUCAGAGGCUGUCCUGCCACCCCCAACCUCGCAGGGAAUUGCAGGGUGAGGAUAAUAAACCAGGGCGCAGGACGGCUGCACCCCGGCCCCGGCGCGGGCGGGAGCUCGGCCUUGGCAGCAAACGCUGCGUGUACAAAGGACGGGCUGGGCACUUGGUGGUUGUAAUUAGGGCUUCUGGUCAACUCGCCUGAGUCAGCCAAGGCUUGUGUGUGCACGUGGUUGCGUGUUCGUGCCCCAGGAGCAGGGCCUGGCGUGAGCAGGGCUGUGCUUGGGCUGACUGUCUCCUGGGACAGCUGUUUCAUGCUUGAAAGCUUUUCUUUACAAUUUGGGGAGUGCAGGAGAAAAAAAACCCAGCUUCUUCCUUUAUAUUUUGCUACCUUUGCUCAUGCUUACAGGAUAUAAAUUAUGGAUAAAACAGCAGAGGAGAAUUUGGAGGCAGAAGGAGGCUUGGCAGGACUUGUGCCACGCUUCCAGAGCUUGCACAAACAUCGUGUUAAUCUCUGGAACUUCUGUGAAAUGUUCUCAGCAUCCCCACUUGAUGCACAAAAUGCCAGCGGUGAGGAUCGUGCUGACCAGCCCAAAGAACGCCGAGCAAGCACUCGAGUGGGGUGACACCUUUGGACUCACCUCACCCCUCUCUCUUUUGCUGAGCACAGCAAACCCUCAGGGGAUUGCUGUCUGUUUGCACAUCUCAAAGCUCACUCAAUUUUCCGGGCGCCUGAGACGCUUUGGGAGCACAAAGGUGGUUAAACUCCUUUACUUCACGGUUUUCGGUUGCACCUCAGAGAGUCCACCCUCUGGGCACAUACGGGCCAUGGGGAAGACUGCGGUUUAUUUUUGCGGGGUGAUGGCUUAUGUCACACAGCUCUCAAGCUUGUUUUCUAUUUUUGAGCAUGCUAAAGUUGCCUAUGUACCAGAGAGCUCACGGGGCGUUUGGGCUAUUUGCGCAACAGGCAAUUUGCUGUGCCAGUGCCAGCUCUGUGUGAACUCCAAGCCCAGUCAAUCAAUGUCAUCUCCAUGGAGAAGGAAGAAAAAAGUCACAUCUAUUGUAGUCUGUCAGCUUCCCUAACCACUCCAAGCCAUUAGCUCUGAAGACUUUUCAGCUACAUACAUAUAAAAUGCAUCCUGCGAUUCUAUUCCUGGUGAUACGCUUUAGACUCAUUUGUUAUGCCGCCUUCAAAGUUCACAGGCAAUAUAAUGGUAUCAGGAACAUACUGUCCCUUUAUUUUGGAUUCUGGGAAAUGUCUGAGGACAGCAAGCACCUGAUUUCCCCUGUAACUCUCCAUUUAUAUGCUGGUGUAAUGAGAAUGAACAUUGCACAGCAAAUGGAUAUCAGAGACAUAUAGCUCUGCCUAUAGUUUUGGAAGAGAAUGGCCUUUGCUUUCCUGGGUUGUGCUUUGAAUAGGUGGAUGAGGAGAAAAUAACUGAGUAGCUGCAAAGCCAGAACUAAGCAAUCUGAAGAGGAGUGGCAGAGCUCUGCAAGUGAAAUGGGAAAUCUGGCUCAUCUGUAAGGUUAGAUGGGAGAUGUUUGACGAUUAAGUGGUUUGUGUGGAUCGGUGCAGCUUUUGGGGCUGAUUUCCACGUGAACAAGGAAUGAUUAGGAGAUGUUUCAGCCUGGGACUUCAGUCCUGGCCACCUCGAAGGCCCACGGGGUGAGCUGUGAAAUGCCAGGAGGGAUCACAAGCGCUGGGUCACAGACUUUAAGCACACUGGAGGUGAGGUGUGCUAAGGCACUUCGGGGUAUUCAACAGCAGAUUGAGUUAUUUGUCUAAACAUAACUUCUUUCUCUCUCUCUUCUGAUUGUUUUGAGCUUUUGGGUUUGAAUUUGAAAGUACUAUCUUUGCUGUAUCACUUGCCUUUGUAAUGAACUUUCUAGGUGAAUGCACACACAGGAGAGAGAACUCCUUGUGCAUUAUACAACAUUUGUUAUAGUGCAGCAUAGUGCCCAUAGCCUAGAAACCAGUGUCAGCAGAGUGUGAAUGAUGCCAGGGACAAGCAGUAAAGCAAAUUCUGCUACAAGGGGAAGCUGUUCAACCCGAUAUAUUUUUUCCAUGAUAUUUAAAGAUGGAACAUGUGCGUGCUUCCAGGUGUGUAGGAGGGAACAUCAGUCCACACUGGACGUUGCUACUACUUACAACAGCUUUUAAAUAGGGUUACAGGUUUUGAACUGAAUCCCAGCUCCAGCUAUUUACAUUACCAGUGUUUCCAGUGCACCCACCACUUGGCAUUUGUAUUGCUGCACAGGAGAGACAAACACUGGUUCUCUCCUGUGUACUUACACAGACUUCUAUUCAAAUGUUAUUUAAAAAUGCCUUAGGAGUCCAUUAAAUGCAAGUUCUGGUCUUUUCACAGCAGUUCUGUGCCUGGGUAGUAGAUGUCACAAAAUAUCAGCAGAUAGGGCACAAUUUUAGCUUCCUAAGCUGCUUUCCAAGUUGAAAAUAGUCCAGGAAAAGCCCGUGUGUAAUAAGACAUCUGGGACUUGCUCAUCUGGAGUCCUGCAUGGGCCUUUUCAGUGCUGUGCUUCCUUUCUAGAGUGAUAAAGCAGAAGUCAUUGGUGUUAAUUUAAUGGAAAGUCCCUGCACCCUCUUCCAGAUGUAUAAACUACCACAUACUAAAGGAAGCAAAAAUCAGAACUGUAAUAUUCAAAUGUAGAAACAUGCCAUUCAUGUAUGUUGCUAACUGCAGCCUCUCCCGGUUGUAUCCCUUAGGUGAUGGUGUACUCCUUGGCAUAAAUUAGAGAUUGCAGCUUUGCGUAUCUAUAGCAGAUGAUGUGGCUAUGUGUGAUUUAUGCAGCACAGAGGCAGAUUUGCAUGUGGCUGGGAUGUGACGUUGGUGGCUCUUUAUGUGCCUCGGUAGCGCAAGGCAAGAGCUUAAUGAGGAGGUUAUUUAUGUCCUGUCUGCACCACUGAUUUUGCUGCUGGAGGGAUCUGCAGGCCCAUAGAAACGUUCCUGGCCCCAUGGGUGGUGUGAGCUUUCUCUGGGAGUUGCUCCGUGGAAGGGGAGGAGGAGGAGGCAGCAGGAGCGGUACAGCCUGCACCCUCACGCCUGCCUCUUCCAGACACAUUUAUUUCUCCUUUCCUGCUGGAGGUUUUAUAUGUGCCUCUGGCCUUGGCUUGGCUGCGGCUUAGCUGCAAGGAGCUCCAACAAGGCUCAGGAUGAGCCCUCGCUGCAGCAGGCUGGCUGUGCAAAGGGACACGUUUCUUCAGAGGCUCCUGUCGUUUGUCCGUCUCAACCACGACAGGCUCCUUGUUUAAGUAUCCUCCCACCCUUCCAGGUGUGCAGCACACCUGACUGCUGUGUUAUUACAGCGUUAUUACAGCGAUAACUGUAGCAGAUUGAUACAGGUAGAGUUCACCUUGGCUAAUAUCUAAGUUCUUCGAUUCAGGAAAGAAUCCUCAUCAUCUGAUUAAGUACCACAGAAUUUGUGGACAACCUUGCCCUUUUCAUCAGCACCAUUUGUGACCAGUUUUCCAGCUGCUUGAACUCAAAUGGUCUUGAGUUUCCUAGGGAAAAUGGGCAACCCCAGAAAAGAAAACAUAAAGGAGUGGACUGGAUGAUUUAAUAAAGCAUUUGCCUCUCUGACAUCCAUAUAUGUACGGAUUGCGGUUUAAAGGGAAAUGCAGGGAAUAGUGGCUUGGACUUGUGGCAAGGGAGUUUCACGCUUUACAAAUAAAUCAGGGUUAUCCUGAUGGAAGCUGAGUUGAAAGCACCCACAGUGGCACAAGGAAGGUAAUGGAACUGGAAGGCAUGAGGGCAAAUCCUCAGUGAAGGCAGAAUUAAGUCCGGUACAUACUAUUGUCCCAUCUUUAAAACGAAUGAGUAAAUAUGGUGCUUGCAGAACUGAGGAGGAAACGAGCGUGGUAUGUGUCAGGUACUUUACAGUGGCCUGUAGAGUUUGUGCCCCAGUGGGCACCCAGUUGCCCGCGGGGCUCAAGGGCUGAGCCUCUGGCACAGGAUGGUACCUCUCCAUAGCAUCCUGCACCAUGGCAGCGCGAAAAAUGCCGGUGUCAGCUGGUACAGAAGAGCCAUCGAUUCUCCCUCCACCGCCCCCAGUCCUGAGCUCCAUCUCAUUGCAGCAAAGGCUUACCCUGAUCUUUUGCAGUACAGCAAAGCCGUGAGAGCCACGACAAAACACAUUUUAGCUUGUGCUGGAGGAAGGAGGCACCCGGGGGUCUUGGCCAGGACUCAGUGUGGCAGAUGAGGUUGAAAGAGCUUCUUUGGCUGCCCGUGGCUGAAGGUUUCUGUCUCAGGAGGGACAGGGAUCGGCUGUACGGACACAUCCAUCACUGCAGCACAGCGCCAGGGGAGAAUGGGUCCCUUUGUGUGCUGCCAGUCUGUCCUGCCAGAGGAAGGCUGGGGAUCAGAUCUCAUCUCAGCUUCUCCUUCCUGCCAUGCCCUGCUCCUGCCAGGACUCCUGCCAGACCUCCACCAUCAGCUCCUGCUCCCCCUGUGCCAGCAGCAUUGGGUCUCCCCUCAUUGUGACUGGAGAGGGGUUUGCAACUGGCUCUGAGAGGCCCUGGGGUCAUUGUGACACCAGUGAGCACCACGGCACUGCUUUGGGACACUGGUGCUUUACCUGGCCCUGCUCUGCUGGGGGAAGCCAAAAUAAGACCCACCUGGAGUAGUUACAGGCUAAAUGCUCAGCGAGGAGUGGGCACACACUGUUUGCACAAGGCAAGGAACAGGAUCUCAAACAGGUGCUUCGCCUCCCCAGCAGUCGCCUGGUCGUCUCCUCCGCGCUUCUCCUCAAGGAAUUUCACAGAUAGGUGGCUGGAGCGGGCUGGGAUCGUGGCUGGGAAGCCGGCACCAUCCAGUGCCAAGGUGCACCAGGAAUACUUUUGGAGAGACUGCUGUUUGCCCGGGGUGCAUCUGGAGAUCUGUGCCCGCAGGGACAGCAAGGAAAUGUUCUCAGCCAGCAAAUCUGGAUGGAGUUGGUUUAGUGCUUGGUGGGAAACCCCUGAGGAUAUCGCCACCAGCAAGUCAGAGGAUAUUCUUCUGAAAUGCACAGUGUUUGCGUGGAAAAGUAUCAACACUGACUGAUGGGAAGAGAUGUGUAAGCCUGGUGAUGGUGGCCCAGCUACAACUUACUGUGUGUGUUUGCACUGUGGUGAUUACUAAAUACACCAUUCUCAGAGUGCAACCACAUGCGCACUGCGUGCUGUAUUUACACAGAACGUAAAGACGCUUCCUCACCUAGACCCCACACCAUGUGCAGCUGAGCCAAGACACAGCAGUUGUGGGCAGAGCGAGGGGUUGUUGGGUGAUGCAGAGCACAAGGGAGGGGGUUCGGAGGAAUUUCUGCUGCCCUUUGGGGGAGUUCAGCCCCAGCCCCCAGAGCCGCUUCCGAGCUGCUGUGUUGCAUGGUGGAGUUCAGAGCCAGGAUUCCAGAGGGCAGGUGCAUUUUCAGGGCCGUCCCCUGGAGCAGACACCUGCUCCUGGGCGGCAGGCAGGGCACGCUUGGGAAGAGAAGGGGAAGGAAAGCGCAGCGAUGACAGCCAGCGCACGCGUUUGCUGCUCAGCUGCACUGCAAACAGCAUCCGGCAACCUCUAGAGAAAAAGGAGGCACGGCGGCAGCAUUGCCACCGGAUCCCCGGCGUUAACGAGAGGAAACUGAAGCCCUAUUUCCACUGGGCUCAGGCUGAUGACUGGAAAAAUGUUUCUCUGUUUACAGGAACCUGAAACCUUUGUAAUUCUCCUCUGCUUUCCCUCCCCCUUGAUCUCUCCCCUGCAGCCAGCCGAUCGCUAGCAGACGUGUUUGGAAAUGAAGGCUUAUUCCAACUCGAAACUUCUAUAAUUUAAUAAGAAAAACAGUUUAGGAACAAUAGGAGCCACAGCAGCAAGAUAAACCACAUAUUUAAGAAGUCCAGGUUUGGAAGAGUUUGGACUGAAUGCCAUGAAAUCAGAGAUGCGGGUCUCCCUGGGGAUGGGUAAUAAGAGGACAAGCACCUGAUACCAGCAAGGGCUGGGCAGGGGACCAGCAUCUGGAGGGCAGAGCAGAGCUGGGUGAGUCCUGGCAGGAGCUGGCACCAGCAUCUCCAGAUCUCUCUCUCACUCCGACCCUGUAAUUAGUUUGAUUUAGAAGCUGGAAUGUGAGCACCGCUGUUUGCUUUUGCGCCGUGCAAAGGCCGUGACUUGACUGUGGUGAACACAAACAGGCAGUGAAAAGUUCUGGCAUUAUUAGAAGAAAAUCUGUAUGAAAUACAGUCCACGUUCAAGAAAAAAUCAGAUACUGCAUAAAAUAUAGGCCUCUGCUUGUCUUUACUAAUUUAAUUUCCCAGGGCACUGUUGACUCUCUUGCCUCCUUUCUCAGCUCUUUGGUUUCAUGGCCAGAGAUGCAGCUGAAUCUCCACUCUGACUACAGGCAGCUCAGUAAGAAUUUGCUUUCUUUAGCCAUCCUCUUAUUUCAAAAUCAGCAGUGUUAAAUCUUUAGUAUUAAUUGGGUAUCAGGUGUGUUUGAAUACCACAGAUGCAUUAUUUACCAGCAGAAAAUUCUGCAGGUCUGAAAAUACCCUGAGAUACUAAGCGAAGCAGGAACCUUUUGAAUUAUUCAGAGCUGGGAUAGGCAGCAAGCAUUGCUGCUGUUGUAACAAGUUUAUUAUUUUAAAUUACUAUUUUCUGGCAAUCUCUUGUGUGCACACCCAUGCCUUUAUUAUGCCUUUUUGGGUCUUUUUCUUACGUUCAGUAAUGACUUUACAAACGUCGACAAACGUGAGUAUUGCCAGAGCCCCCUCCUCUCUUCAAAUAGUUUGCUCAUGAGGAGUAAUUAGUUUUCAUGUAAUAUUUUAUUGUCAUCUGAACUGAGCAACUUCUGUUUCUUGGCACGGGCAAAGUACCAAGAAGUUCAUGCCCCUCCGAAAAAGGCUGAUCCUCUCCCAGAGAAGCAAGUUGCCCCUUUUCAAUUGUUUUGUACCUUGAGGCCCAGGUGUUCUAAGUUUUCUUCUAAGAGAUUUUUCUUUUCCUCUUCUCCUUUAAAUCUUGUAAAUAGGCUCCUCUGCUUCUUGGGUAAUUAUGGCUAUUUUUGGAGCAGCGAAUUCACAUUAAGGCAAGAAAUAUUUACUGCAAAAAGCGUAAAUGCAGGUGGAGAUGUUCCUGUGGUAUGGAGGGCGUUGUGUGGAGGGCUGUGCUGCACAUGUCCCCUUGUCCAUCCAUGUGGGACGUGUGGCUCCUCUGGGCAGUGACAAAGCCUCAGGCACCUGGAAAAAGAGCCAUUCUGUUGAGCUCUGUGAGCUCUGCUUCAAGGAAAGUCAGUUAAAUAGGGCAGAGAACGGGGAGUGGCUGAGGGGAUGCUGGCUGAUGUGUGACCAUCAUCAUCAUCUCAUGUCCUUCUGGCUAAAAUCUUUGGGCCUUCCUGGUGCCAAGGGACCAGAGCUCCCCAGAAACUGAGCACCAGUGGGAGCCAGAGGAUCUCCAGAGCCUGGGGGGUGAAAAGGAGAGAUGGUCCUUCCAGGUAACCCAUGGCUCUUGCCAAAGAAUUUGGAUCUCUUCCCCCCCAAUAGGCUGAUCUCCCCUCAUAGCCUCACUAUAGAAACAGAUUGACUUUGGUCCCGCUUUUGUGCAGAGAUAUCCCUCCAUAAUCUCUCCACUCCAUUUUUCAUGGCUUUUAAAAAGUGAAUUUGACAGGGGGAAGCGCUGCUGUUGUGAUAGCUCUGUAGACUGAACUCUUGAAAGAAAAAAACCUAUUGUCAUUAGAGAAGAGCUGAGGGAGCACUGUUUGGAUUGAGCUGGAUCAGUCUGGGUGAUAGGAUUCAGCAUUCAGGGCUGAAUUAGGGCUGAGCCUCUUGUUUUGCAGCCGUACAGUCCCACGAGCUGUUCCCCUGAGAAUUCAGCUGUGGAUACCAGCCACCUUAUCAGGGUUGCUAUGGCCUCCGGAGAGCUGCUGCAUUUUUAGCUCGAUAUUUCUGAGACGUGCUUUUAAGAUCAUUUCUGCAUCUGAACUUUUUCCAGAAAAUCAUAGAAUAAUUUAGGUUGGAAGGGACCUCUGAAGGUCACCUAGUCCAACCCCCUCUUCAAAGCAAGGUUAACUUCAAAGUUAGGUCAGGUUACUCAGGACCUUGCCCAGCCGAGUUCUGAAUAUGUCCAAGGAUGGUGAUUGAACAGACUCUCUGGGCAGUGUAAACACUCUCAUUAUGUUUUUUUUCAUAUAUCCUGGCUGAAUUGUCCUUACUGCAACGUAUGUCCAUUGCCUGUCAACUCCUUGCUGUGCACCUCUGAGAGGAGACAGGCUCUGUUUUUCUAUAUAAGAUCUGGGAGGCUGAACCUUUCCACUUGAACGCUGGAAAUAUUUGGUCCUCUCAGCCUGACUCUGUGUUGUGUGUCCCAGCUCCCUGAGAUCUUCAAACCCCUCUGCUGCACUAUCCUCUGUUUGCCAAUCUCUCCCCUAUCGUGGGGAGCCCCAAACUGGACCCAGGACCCCAGACAGAGCCUCACAGGUACCGAGGAGAGAGGGAUAAUCCCUUUUGGCUGACUAGCUAUGCUCGUCCUAAUGCAGCCCAGUACAAGGUUAGUUCUCAUUGCUGCACGGGCACACGGUUAAUUUAUGUUUAACUUGAUAUCCAUCAGGAUGCCAGGUCCUCUUCUGCAGAGCCGUUGCGUAGCCAGGCAGACCCCAGCCUGUGGAAAGAACCCUUUACCAGUGUCAGACUGGUCAUGUACGUGCUGUGAUGGGAUUCUGGAUUCAAGACUGCAUGGCAAUUGUAUCAUGGAAGUUUGCAUUUGAGGGUUCAGCUCUGAGGGUUCACGCGGAAACCACAUCAUGUGGUCAGAUCAAGGGAUUUUCCUAACACUGCCUGUAAAGGUUGUAGAGUGAUAGAAUCAUAGGAUCAUUUUGGUUGGAAGAGGGAAAAAACAAUGAAGGCCGAAGUAGAUACACGGUUGUGGCUGCUGCUGUGUCAGGCCAAGAGGUUGCCACCCCUGUUGAUGUGCCAGCAUAACUGUAAUUGCAUCCUAGCCCAGUUAUGUCAAAAUAUUUGUGGUUAGUUUAAACACAGGGAAGGAGAUGAUGAUGUUUUCCAAGAAAAGAUAGGAAGGGGACAAACAGACUGCAGUUGGCUUGGGGAUGGUAACCUCUCCAGAGCUGCACGCAAGACGUUUUGGCAGUGACGUUUGUGACAAACUUGUGUGGCUGCAUUGAGACAGGAUCUGGGGAUCCUCAAAGGGGCUGCAGACCAGGUGCUUUCAAACAGCUUUGUGAGUGUUGUUCGGUGUGAUGUUAAAACAAGCAGCACCCCAGAGCACACCUGCAGCUGUGGGGCACUACAGCCAGUGGACGUUGGUCCCAUGCUGACCUGGAGGGACCUUGAACGGGAGCUUCAGCAUGAGGGACCAAGUCAACCCAAGCUCUUUGAGAGACCUGGUGGUGUAGCAGGGCCUUCCCUUUCAAGACACGGCAGCACUGGAGAAGCCAGAAUGUGAGGCACCGGUGAUGCCAUGGGAAGUUUCUUAUGCGUCCCAGGUAUGUGCAGGUACUGCUCCUUCUGUGUGAAGAGGCCAUUCAGAAGCACAGAUGGUGGUUGAAGCUGAGCCCCACUGAUUUUUGAAGGGCAUGGACUUCCCUUGAGCAUCUCAGAAAAAUGCACUUAAUUAAAUUAUGCUUGAAAGUGAGAUUUGAACGGAAUGAAAGAUUGUUGCGGGUAGAUGGGUAUGCAGUUUAAUUGUACAGAAAAUGGUUGUUUCGUUUAGCUUGUACAAUCAGACUUGGAGCAGAAGGGGUGCGUUUGUCUGUCUAAAACAUCAGCUUCAGAUCCCUUCACUGGUCUGUGGCUUGUUCUGGGAUUAUAGUGUAUUUGGGAUGCUGUGAAUAGAAGGCAGCUCAGGGCAGUGUUUUAUGUAAGGUAGCACUCUGCACUAUUUUUAAAUUUUUAUGAUAUGGCAGGCUCGUUCUAGUAUUUUAAUAAAAUGAGACGUGCUCUUCCUUUUCUACAACAGCAGCAAAAUCCAGUCCAGGGCUGCCCUGCUUGACAGCUUGUGGCAGGAUUAUACAAAAGAGUUUAUUCUGUGGCUAUAUAUAAAUGUUAUAUGUGGGUGGAGGCUGGACGGAAUUGUCUCAUGGGUCACAUCCAGUAUGCAGAGCACCCUUUGAACAACUUUCUUCUACAGACGCUGGCUGUCAAUAGCACAGGACUUUCUAAUAUUCUUAAAAAAAUAAAAAAAGAAAUAAAACCCACAAAAAUGGGGUCUGUGGCUUUGUCUGCCUCUUGCAAGAAGGGUCAGAAGAAGAAGAACCUGGCCCCAGGCAGAUGUGCAGCACACGCCUGUGGGGCAGAUACCUGUAUCUCAGCAUCCUGCAUCCCUUCUACCUUGCGGCACAUGUCAGGUAUUUCCAAAGAAGAGCCUAGUUGAUUUAUCUUCCUGAUGGUGCUAAAGGCAGCUGGAGAUACUUGGUGACAGUUUUCUGCCUUCUUGUCCCCAGUGCUGCUGUCCUGGUCCCAUGGAGCUCACCUGGAGCAGGUACCUGCUCUCCAGACAUGAGGCAGGUUUGGGCUCGAGGCUGCAACUGUGCUUCACAUGUGCUAUGGGCAUCGUCAUCACUGUCUCACUACCGCUGUCCUCAAAGUAAACCCAAUUCCUUUCCAAAGGAAGCAACCGCCUCCAUUUGAGCUGCUGAUGUCAAUGUAGUGCGUUUUUCCUCUGCCUUUUCCCAAAUAAAUGUGGGGUUUUGGGGACAUUUUUUUGCCACAAUUCUGCCUUUGUUAUGUCUCCAUGCAGUGACACCGGGUACAUUUAAAUGCCUGAUUCUCCAUGGGUUCUAAGUCCAGAGCCACUCUGUUAGAGUUAAAAUAAACACGCGCUCGCUUUAAUCAUGUGAGCUCAGAUAAACACAUGUAAACUUCUUAUAAGUUAACUAGGUCUUGGUCAGGUUUUGACAGUUUAACUGUGGUUAAAUGGAUUUUAUCAGAUUUUUCUAAAUGCUUCGCCUCUGGGCUAAAAAUAAAACCAGGGGCAAUUGACAAAAGAAGAAUGCACGGAAGCAGGGCUUUGGAGUCAAAGCAUCUUCUCUUGCAUAGCAGGAACAUUGCACCACAUCCCUGAUAAUUCUGUGUAAACAGCCUGAUGUGGGAGAGACAGAAGGAUGAGGAAAAGAAACAAGGAGCAAAAUUUGGCAGAUUCACGGGUGUUACUCCAUAUUUUUACUAUAGGAGCUAAUGAUAAGCAUUUACACACCAGCAUUUUAAAAUUCAAUAAUGGUUUAAAAAACCAUCACUGAUGUAGGGGAGGACAAGGGGGGAAAAAAUGAGACCUAAAGACAAGAUAAGUCAUUAGAGAUGCAAGGAAAUGCUGCUGUUGUCUUCAGGCUAAAUCUAUCGGAACAGAAGGCCAUAAAUCGAAGAUUCAUUGCUCCCUCUGCUCAUUAGCUGUGUGAAACUGUGACUAAGCUUGAAGGUUAUUUGGUGUAGCGCAGCAUUAUCGUUCCUAUUGCCUUGCUCUGCGUCGGGCAUGAUUCACACACACCGCUUGCCUUGCUGGCUGCCAGAUUUCCACUAUUUCUUUCCACGAGGAGGUUCUGCAGCCUCAUGUGUCUACCGGCUUUGUUAAUUUUUGCCUGGACAAAGGCAAAAUUAUUCGAGUGGAUCUCUUAUUUAUUAAAGAAAUCGAAUUUAUUCACUAGAUGAGACUCGGGAUGUAGCAGACAGCAAUGUAAAGCAUGAAGGAUACAAGCCCAGUGGACAUUUUUAUUUUAACAAUGAAAAUAUGCAAUCUGUCUCAGCAAAAUACAGCUGCUGAGCAAAUUAACUUGUGCUGAAUGCUUAUUGGGGGCCCACAGCUCAUUCUUUUGUUCUUCCUGUUCAGCAAAUCUGUUUUUCUGACUGAGAAAUAAUAGAUUGUGGCUCUACAGAGCCUUUCAUCAGAUGAUCUCAAAGUACUUGGCAAACAUUAGUGGUUUGCUUGGGAGAGACUAAACCUUUUAGUACAUCCAGUGGAUGGUACCUAGAGAGCAGGGUGAAAAGUACAUUGCAACUACUAGAGAAGGCUGCAAAAUGUUACGCUAAUAUGACUAACAAAUACCAGAUGAUGUUCUCUGGUGUUAAAGCAAAGACAUUUCUUUUUUCAUAUAUAACAACGUUAAGAGGAUAUAAUAAUGAGGUUGUGGGUUUGCAUUUGUUUGUUGUUUUGUGUGUUUUUGUUGUUUUUCCUAAGCUAAGGUGUGUGUGCCCACCCAAGUAUCCAGAUAACUUUACUGUAGCGUCUAUGAGCCCUGGCUCCCAUCCAGGUCUUUGUUCCCAUUUCCCGAUGCUGCUCCGAUGGAAAGUGGCCCAUCCCACCUACCAGCUGGGAAUUUCCCUGACACAUGGGCAUUCUCUGGGUAACAUGAGAUUGCCAAAUGGUCUUGUGUUGCAAACCCUCCCUCUUUUAAGCAACGAAGUAUGUUAGGAGUGCCUGAACAUUCAGUAUCAAAAGACUUGGAGCUGUAGCCUCUCCAUGCUCUGUCUCCGGGUUGCAGUCCACAGGCACUAUAGGAAGUUAAUUAGGAAAGCCCUGGAGUUGUGGUAAUUUGCGGUAGGGGCUGUAGCAGUCUCCAGCCACGUCCAGAAUUGGAGCAGAGAUAAUUUUUUCACAUCUUCUUUGUUACUCCUGCUUUGCUGUCUUAGAGACAGUAGAAGGUACAUUUGACAUUGCCUUUGCUUGCCAUUUUUUAGACUCCCGUUGCUGCUGUGCCAUUCUUUUCAUCCACCAUUCAAAACCAAGUUUACAGCAUUUCAACAUGAAAUAAGUAUCUGCUCAAAUGCAGGCGUUUUACACAGGCCUGGACAGAGUUCUGGGCUUGGAGUUAGACUGGAACUAGAGCUGCAAACCUGAAACUUCAUUUCCAUAUCCACACAGUUCCCCAACCGAUAAGAGAACUCUUCUGAUCCAGUUCAAGGCAGCAGAAUACUUAUGUAGACAGUGGUGAAAAUACCACUGAAUAGUCACUUUGGAAAUAUAGCCUUACGAGAACACCUCUGAAUUGUGAAAACAUUGGGUCUAAGCACAUGUUCUCUUUUAGACCCAACCGUGAAUUCAUUGGUAGUGUAAUUUUGUGAUGAAGACCUAAGAAAACCACAUAACCAGCUCCAAACAAAGCCUACGAGAACUGGUUCAGGUGAUGUGAAUAGAACCCAGUGGCGCAGAGGGAGGAGAACAGGGCAGGACUGGGAGCAAACCGCUAAGCGCAGCUCCCGAGAGAAAGAGGAAACUUCAGCUCUACUAAGAGGUUUACGUAAUGUCAGAAAAAGUGAUUUAAAUGCAAAUAACCUGGUAAUGUCGUUAGAAAUUUUGCAGUGGUUCUGGCAGCCAGGUGUAGCAUAAAGAGAAUGAGAGCUAAACAAAUAUUGCCUUCCUUCUGUGAGUUCAUUUAUUCACAACCUAGGUUCGUUUCUUUGGCAGGUGUAUUUUCCCCUUCAUCUAAAAAAAGAAAGGGGCUGGCUGCCCCUUUUUCCUAAACACACUCAUUUUGUAUUGCAGCAAAACACGCACCCACCCGCAGACACUGAAUAACCUCUCCAGGUGCUAUGUAGUAAAUAUAGUUACUGAAUUUACCAUCGAUUGCUUCAAGGUGAGGCAGACAUCAGUAUUUUAAAACAAAUCACCUUCUACCUCUCUUCUUGUGUCAUUUGCUACACACUAAUUCAGGUAUUUGGGGAGAUUAGCAAAUACCUUUUAAACUCUGCCAGUUUGAAAGGCUUCACGAAUUCUGUUAAACUUGCAGCAGAAGUUCAGGAUUUUCCCUCCCAAAGUGACCUUUGGGAGAGCAAAGCUGAGCUGGGGAAGUGGCCCCCGUGAUCCGUGUGUGUUUUGAAGGCAGGACGGUGCAGCCAGAGAGCGCACGGUGAGAGCCCGAAGCACCUCGGACUGCGGCGUGAACACUGAAGGCAAUGGGGGCUUCUCGUUUUUCCUGCAGUAACCACCAAACUGCCCGGUGGGAUUCAGUGCAUGUGAAAAAACAAACAAACAAAAACAUGAAUAAGCACAUGGAAACAUCCUUUUUCCCGAUUAGGCUUGUGGGCACAUUUUGGAUUAGGCAUCUUUGCAUUUUCAGCGUUUUGGAGGAAGCAAAUAUCCUCAGAUGCAAAGCAGAGAUGCUCCGAUGUGAUGCUGCUGAUCUUGUAUCUACAUCUUUCUAGUGGCUGCAGGUUCACCCUGUUAAGACUUUGGGAUGGUCAUUUAAAACUAAGCGUAAACCUUGGCUGCACUGGAAUCCAGAGCCUUUUUGCCAUUGAUUAGCAUCAGUUAAAGUCUUGGUGCCUCAGUUUCCCUCACUGUAAAAUGAAGAUCUGAAUGCUCUCUAGAAGUCUGUGAGGGUCUGUUUGUUUGCUGCUGGUGCAAACAGCAGCAGGAUUGGUUCUUAAAAAAGAGGAAAGAAAUAAUUAUACAAUUUGUAUUAAUGAGCUACCGUUCACUGUCAGAACAGUACUAGUUGUUUCGUUGCCUUCACGCUGCAGUUGCUGCAGAGGACACUUGCUAUGGACUCUCGUAGCAGAGAGCUGGUGUGAAUCCCUCCACAGCAAACUCUUCAUCCGCGAGACCACUCUCUUCACGCCAUUUCAAAUAUAUGCAUUCUCUUUAGAGAUGCUGCAGUUAGGAUUUUGGUGGGUCUCCUUUACAUAUAGCAGUUUCCCUGCCAGAAUUAAAUGGUGAGACAUUUCUACAUGAAAGGAACAAACCAAAGAAAAGAUCUAUUUUACUUUCUUCGUCUCCCAAAACGUGGGCAAGUUUAAAGUACCAUAUCAGUUGGGCAAAGAUGAAAUACAUGUCUUCAGAGCUAAAAUCAGGUAUCACCUAUUCCAAUUUCUGCCAGUAGAAACACACUGUGGUUUACAGAAGGGCUAUCUGAUUUAUCAAGAAUAGCCCUUAUCAAGAGCACAAGCAGCCUAAAAGUGUAAUAUGUAAUAUUUUGGGAUUAGGAAGGGCUCCACAGUCAUUCUCUCUGCCUCGUUGGCCACGUGUCACCAGUGCAAGGGCUGGUGGUGACGGAGUGUGCGUGAGCACAUUGGGAACACCUCCCCGUGCCAGCAGGGAUUCACGUGAGCGGGUGGCAGACCUUUCCUCAUGCAAUUUCAGAAGCGUUUGCUUGACCAGAGCCUUGCAUCCCAGCUUUCUGGGUAGACUGAGUUUAGAUUUGAAGGCAGGCUUGGGCAUGUGCUGAAAAUACUUGUUCCCUAUCAUAGACCAGGAGGAAGAGUUAUCACAAAGCUGAUGUGAGCCAGACCUGCUGUGGCAGUAGCCAAAAGUGUCUCUGUCUGGUGGCCACUUGCUGUGUCUCUCUAAAGAAGUGAAGUUUCAGUCAUUACUGAUUCCAGCUGGGUUUGAAAGAGCUCCAGGUGCUGUGCUGGUUCCUUUAUGUCAUAGGCCUGUUCUAGCACAAUGAAAUUGUUCUUUAGUUUUGUUUUCAGACUUUUCACAGAAUUGUUUCACCCUCGUGAAUUUUUCCUCUCUCGUGACUCUGCAUUUUGUUUAUUGACCUUUCAGUCCAAUGGCUCCAGUGGGAGUCACUUGGCUCAGUAAAGCAUGUGAAGGUGCCUUAAGAUAAGGAGUUAAAUCCCCACCUUGCUGAUGGCUGCGUUUACCCUUUACUCCAGCCCUGGCAGUCUUUGGAGCCUUCCAUCCCUUUCCUCUCCUUCCCUGUAGAUCCUGAGAGCUUUUCCCAGUCAGUCCUAGUGCACCCAUAGGACUGGAAAAAAUAUCCAUGAGACUCGCAAUAUAAUAUGUGAGCACUAUUCUAAUCUAGCAAUUAUCUUCACUUGUGAGGGCAGAGAUUACUCACCAUGAGAAAGGUCAUAAUAACAGAGAUCAGGGAUCAUGUGGUGUUUACACACACUGAUUGUUGCUUUAUUGCGAGCUACUAUGACACAGGAGGAAGAGUUAUCACAAAGCUGAUGUAAUUAUAGGUAUCUGCCUAUUGUAAUUGGAUUUCUCCUGGUAACAGAAGAAUGUUUGUGAAGGAAUCCACACUUGACGCUGCACUUUUGCAUGCUCCAUGUAGUCAUAUACUUGCUUUGAUCUCCAACGAAACUGUGAUAGUAAAGAGUAGCAGUUUGACCUUUGUUAGCUCUCGAAUUUAAAUAGAGUCAAUUAAUGAUUUUGAGGCAAGAAGACAAUAAAAUCUUGUGGAAAGAAUACACUAUUUUUUCUACUUUAAAGCACUGUCGUAGUUUUAUUUCCUGGGAUUUGAGAGCUCAAUAGGAUUUUAUAGUACCUUUCUUUUUUGUGGCAUGCGUGUGGCUGAAUCUGCUCCCUCAGUGGGGGAGAAGUGGGGAGGGAGACUUCUCUUGCUAAUAAUCUUUAUACAUUUUAUAUGCUUAUAUCUACAAAAAUAACCAUGAGAUUAUUAAGCAAACUCUAAAAUUCUGGACUAAAUCAUCCUGUGUUUGAAAAAAGGACACAAGUAAAAAAAUACUAAGGAGCAAAUCAUUGAACAGAUGAAUUACCAUCCUAGGAGAAAGGUUUUCCUGUAAUGCUGAGUGGGCUUCUAUAGGUAUAGUGCUGAUGGCUGAGAAGGAAUAAAAAUAUAGUAUCUUGACAAAGGAACUGUCACUCACUUGUAAUAAAAGAUGUUCUGCUACUCCUAACCCAGAUCUUGCUGUCAAAUAUGCUCUAAAGCUUUGCUUGGUUUCAUUUUCUUCUCUCUAAUUCAUUGUUGCUUCCUUCAGAUGGGUUAAUCAAUACUCUGAAGACUAUUCUUAGAUUCAGUGACAAGUCGACUACACCCUCAAGGCAAAGAGAAAAGUUUCCAGGUCUCUCUCAGCCCCUGGUUAGUUUUGAGAAUGGUUUUGUAUGAGAGGGAAAGCGACACCUUUCAAUAGCAUAAUAUUUCUAACCUUGGUUUGCUACUACAGGCUCAGAUUUUUCAAAUGUCUCACUAAUGGUGGAUAAACAUGAUUGAAACUGCCAUUAUGUUCGAGGAAAUGGUUUUAGCCCUUGUUCCCCUGAUUUCCAGUGGUUCCCCGGCUGUCGGUGCCGUUGUGCUGCUGUCCUCCCUGGUUUGAACAUCUCAGAAAGCCCGUGGUAUCAGGUGGUAGGAUGAGGUCCCAAGUGUUGUGGAGGGAUCAGCGUGUGGCCGGGCUGCCCGUCCUGCGCCUCUUCAGCAUCCACGAGGUUGGCAACACUGCGGUUCCUUUUGUCCUUAACCUCUACCUGUUUGCUUAGCUGGGAGUUGAGCAGAUCACCGCAUCCUUGUGCUAAUUACAGUUUAAUAAUUAGUGCCUAUCAAAACGCUGCCUUUCAACUGCCAUUCAUUUGGCUAUUUGCUUGCCAAAUAACUUCACCUUUCCCUCACUGCAGCCACUGUGUUCAAGGGUGACAGGGUUAGCAUUUCUUAAUUCUACAUCCAAUUACUUCUCUAUCCUGUAUUUUAACCCCUCAGUGGUUUCUGGUUUAGCCCCCAAGCUAAAAGAUAUAGAUCAUUUUCAGUAUGCUUGUAAAGAGCAGAAAACAUGCUGCAAAUAAACUGAGGCCACGGUUUUUCUGUACAGCUAAAUAGCUGAUCCCCCAGCAGAACAAAAGCAAGAGAGAUGGCAGUCAGGAUGGUCAGUGCUAUUUUAUGCUGUAGAGAUUCAUUCAGGUUUAACGUGUUUUUGUAGGAAUUAUGGAGAGUCAGACACACAAGAGGCUAAAGGGAGCCAGUUCUCUAUUCCCAGGUUUUUAGAUGCACUGAGAUGGAAUAAAGUGGCUAAGGAAUUGUAAAGUCAGAGGAAAAUUAUUUCCUGACCUUUAGCCCAAUGAUCAAAUUGGUUGGCAAGAACAAGUCAUAUUUGGCACCUAAGCCAGCAGCUUGGUGACUUUAAAGCCUGGAUAACUGUCCAUUCCCAUCUAUUUGAAUGUCAAUAGCAAGGCUCAUACAUUGCUGCCUCUGCAGCAAAACGUGAUUCCUGCUGAACAACAGUGUGAGUGGGUCGAGGGGUGACUGUGCGGGAGCUGGAAAGAAAACUGAUCUGCUCGCAGUGUAAAUCGCGGACCAGAAAGAAGCUGAAAUUUGAUUUGAACAGUUUUCAAGGAUUUCUUUGCUGCCUCUCAUUAGUGUUAAUUACAAGUUAUGCCAGGGAUUAAUCAAACAUUAGAAGUGCUGCAGACCAGGAUCUUUGUUAUGUGAGCCUUGAACACCUUCAUCACUUUUUGCUAGGGGAUAUUUGAUCAGUUCCUCUUCAUUUUACUUUGGUUUAAUCAGCACAACCAGCCCCUCAUUGACAGUAAUGUUGUAAAGCCCCUUUAUACUUCUGGCAGCGGAUCAAUAAAUGUUCGUCUCUCCCUGAUUUCUGCCCAUUCACACGUUCGUCCUCCAGAACUGGAGAAGUCAGGACUUCUGCCCAGGGCUGCUGAGGCGCCCAGCGUCGUGUCUCUGCCAUGUCAGUGACAAACAUACACAGAAUCACAGAAUCACAGAAUCACAGAAUCGACUGGGUUGGAAAAGACCUCAUAGAUCAUCCAGUCCAACCCUUGGUCCAACUCUAGUCCGUUUACUAGAUCAUGGCACUAAGUGCCAUGUCCAAUCUCAGUUUAAAAACCUCUAGGGACGGCGAGUCCACUACCUCCCUGGGCAGCCAUUCCAAUGCCUGAUCACUCUCUCUGUAAAGAAUUUCUUUCUAAUAUCCAGCCUAAAUUUCCCCUGGUAGAGUUUAAGCCCAUGCCCCCUUGUCCUAUUGCUAACUGCCUGGGAGAAGAGACCAAUCCCCACCUGGCUAUAACUUCCCUUCAGGUAGUUAUAGAGAGUGAUGAGGUCACCUCUAAGCCUCCUCUUCUCCAGACUA